rnacentral:sRNA from 1 species
GUUCCUGCAGGGGUGCUGGGCCCCUGCGGCUCCCACCACGUUGCGCUGGACUCUUGUGGCCCGUGCUGACCUGGUGUUCCAGGUGCUGUCUCUGCAGAGCUCUGCGUGGUCUCUGGUGUUAGAGAGGUGGCCACCCACUGCCCUAUCAUUGUCCCUGUCCCCACUGUGAGGAGAAGCUAUCAGAUCUGCCUGUGGUCCCCAGGUGGCUCAGGAAGGGCUGUCCUGACCCCCAUCUUGGCCCCUUUCAGAGCUGCAGAGAUUUCUUUUGCCUCCCUCCAGCUCUGGCUCCCUGGGUCUGCCCGUGUGUGGAGCGGGCACGGGCUUCCCGUAGACAGGGUUGCCCAGAGUGGGGUUCAUAACUGGGCACUGUAACGGGUGUGGUCUCCAUGGCUUAGGAUGGGGCCCCCCUCCUGGUGGCCUGUUGUGCCCGGGGCUGGUGUGGAGGCCUGUGGGUGCAGAGGCCGCCCGGCCCUGGGCUUCCUCUGGGGUUACACGUGUACCCUUGCACCACCUACCUGUUAGCACCCACUGGGAGAGUCUCACUUAGCCUAAACCAGGGCCCCUCAGGAGGAAAAGGUCCCCAGCUCCAUGACGGGGCCUGGUGUGCCUUCCAUUCCCGCCCUGACUCAGUGCCCCCUGUGCGAGGUGUGAGCACUGUCCACAGCAGCCGGGGCGGCCAGUGGGGAGUGCAGUGGAGGGGGUUGAGGCCUCGUGGGCACCUGGUGAGUCCUCGAGGGUGAGAGGAAGGCGAGGCCUCAGGCUUAGCCGAUGCUGCAUGGGGCAGGCUGCCAAGAGGGAGGCUGAAUGGAGCAGCCUCAGGGUGAGCCGACAACCCUCACCUCUGCCUGGUCAGCCAGGACCCGGCUCCCCUUCAGUCCCGCCUGCUUUCCCCAAAGCAGAUCCGGCCAGCCUCAAUGGCUCGCCCAGGGGGGUGCUGGUUAGGCUGUGGGCAUCCUUCCUGGGUGCAGGCCCCCGACAGCCAGCAGUGCUGUGCUGUGUGUGUGUUGGGGACUCUGCUGAGCCCUUUGUGGCCAGACUGGGGAGGCUCCUCCGGGCUGGCUCUGUCCCCUGUACCUUGUGAGGGAGGGGCUGACCCCCCGACCAGGUUAUAUCGUGGUGAGCAGUUCAGAAACAAACUGUGGAAUGAAGUGGAGGUGGCGUUUUAAACACAUGAGCCCCAUCUGUUCUUAGGGGUUUUGUUUGUUGUCCCAGUCCGUGACUCCAAGACUGGGACCCCCAGAGUUCCCAGGAUGGUCUGGAGCCUUUCUCCUCAGGUCAGCAUUGUGGAGAUAAAGGGAGGGAGCCACGGCCCCUCAUUGCUCAGGAGAGCCAUGGUGACCUUGAUGGUGGAGGCUCAGGGGGACCUGGACCGUAGACACCACACAGCUGACCUCCUCCCUCCCGAGGCCAUUUCAGGGCUGGAAUCCCUGCCCUCCUCUCCUUUCCUCCCGGGCUGGUUGUUGCCUUGAGAGUCCAUGCGCUCAUCUCCCCACUUUCACCCCAGGGGGAGGCCCCUCACCUUCCCACCAUAUCCCUUGAACUUCCUCCCACCCUGGACUUGGGGGAGCUGGGGAGGGGGCCCUUCCUUCAGCAGCAAACCCUCCUGGUGUAGGGCUGUGGACCAUCCCACCACAGCCUGUCCAGCAGCUGCUGAGCUCGUCAGCCCCAACUAGCACCUUCUGUCCAGGCCCAGCCCAGCCCUGCCUUGCCUCCAGAGCCGACACAGGGGCCUCGCCCAGGUCCCGCUGCUCCAGAGCUCGUGGGUGCCCGUGCUGCAGGCUGUUUGGGGUGGUGGAGCAGGGCACCUGCCAGAGCUGGGGGCUGAGUGGCUGUGGGGGACCCAUGCUCCUCCUGUGACCCGAGGCCCAGGGGUUCCACCUCGUAAUUUUUGUUUGUUUUUAAAUAAGGAAAAUGCAAAAAGCGAGGCGACGGCUUAAAAAUGGAGAACGACCCCCAGGAGGCGGAGUCCGAAAUGGCCCUGGAUGCUGAGUUCCUGGACGUGUACAAGAACUGCAACGGGGUGGUCAUGAUGUUCGAUAUCACCAAGCAGUGGACCUUCAAUUACAUUCUCCGGGAGCUUCCGAAAGUGCCCACCCAUGUGCCAGUGUGCGUGCUGGGGAACUACCGGGACAUGGGCGAGCACCGAGUCAUCCUGCCGGACGACGUGCGUGACUUCAUCGACAACCUGGACAGGUGAGUGCAGUGGCCCUGCUCCCGAGGGACCCUGGUGCUCCCGAGGUGCUCCGGUGCGUGGGGGAGGGUGCUGAGGCAGAGGCCCAGGGAGGGGUUAACGUUAGCACGGGGCCCGGGGGAUGUGGGUCGCGCAGCUGCGUGGGGCUCACUGAAGCCUGGGUCUCCCCGAUGGCAGUGCCGGGAACUGUGUGCCGGGGACUGUGUGUCGGGGACUGUGUGCCGGGGAACUGUGUGCCGGGGACUCUGUGCCGGGGACUCUGUGUCGGGGACUGUGUGCCAGGGAACUGUGUGCCAGGGUGAAGUGCUGGCACUGUGGGGUCACCUGCAGAAGGGCACUCGGCUUAGCUGUUUAGCAGGGCUCAGCAGGGUCCUGUGGCCUCAGGAGCCUACAGGAGGAGGGAGGGCAGUGCAGACCCACAGCCGUGGGCCCAGGGGUGAUCCUUGGCACCGGGCAAGGGUCUUUCUCCUGCAUCUUUCUUCCUUUCUGAAAGCAGACCUCCAGGUUCCUCCUACUUCCGCUACGCGGAGUCUUCCAUGAAGAACAGCUUCGGCCUAAAGUACCUUCAUAAGUUCUUCAAUAUCCCAUUUUUGCAGCUUCAGAGGGAGACGCUGUUGCGGCAGCUGGAGACAAACCAGCUGGACAUGGACGCCACACUGGAGGAGCUGUCAGUGCAGCAGGAGACGGAGGACCAGAACUACGGCAUGUAUGUGGCCGGACCUGCCCAUGGGGGCGGUGUGGGGGCUGCACCAAGGAGACAGCAGAGGGGAGUGUCCCCUGUUUGGGGUAAAUUAAUCAUCUUGGGGCACAGGUGGAGGAGGGCUCAGGCUUGCACUGCCCCCAGCAGCCCCCUCACAGUCACCCCUGGCAUGGACUCCUCGUACAGGUCAUGCUGUGCCUGCCGCUCUGAGCACCGCUGACCGUAGCCAGGUGCUGGUGCUGGUGGAGUCCUGCCAGGGCUGCCUGCCCAUCAGGGGCUUGGCCUCCCAGAUUGAUGCCAGCAUGGGAUGCGCUUUCUGGGGAGCUGCUUGAUUUUGGGAAGCUCCCUGUGCUGAAGAGGCAUACAGGCCAGAACAUGGAGGUCUCUGGUCCUCGAUCGCAGAGGGCGGCUCAGAGCAUCUUCCUGAGUGGGCCUGGGCAGCGCGUAGCCCCGGGGGUUGUGGCCAGUGGGACAGCUGGCCCAUUCUCUGCCUCAGGCUCCUGCACAGCUAGGGGCUUGGUGCCUCCCCUGGGACCCAGGCACGGACCACGGAAUCAGUGGCCCUCCUGAGGCCCCCCAGCAGGUCUCUGUUUCCAGAGGGAGAGCCCUGUGGGUCACCUUGGAUCUGGCUGUUGGCUCAGACACAGCAAGAGACUGAGAGGGAAGGCAGUUUGAUGCCUGGAGAGGGACCCGUGGCUUCCGGCUGCCAGGCCAGCCCCAGAAUGGAGCCCCCCGCAUGGGCGCUUCUCUGUUGAACCAAUCCUGGCAUUUCCUGGGCCUGAGAGUUGGGUCAGCUGGAUGCUGCAAUGGCCACACAUGCUCCACCAAGCCCCAGCCCCCUCCUCUUCCCAGAAACCCCCCCUCAUGGGAAGGUCCACUUGCUGCCAUCUGGCCACCUCUGCAUGGAGCCCCCAACAGCUGUGCCUCAGAACAGAUGCCAGGUAACUUUCAGGGGAGCUGGACACACGCACGCUGGUGCCUGCUGUCCCCGCCCUUUGGCACUGCUGCUCUUUUUUUUUCUGAGACGGAGUCUCGCUCUGUUGCCCAGGCUGGAGCACAGUGGUGUGAUCUCGGCUCACCGCAAGCUCCGCCUCCCGGGUUCAUGCCGUUCUCCUGCCUCAGCCUCCC